GGAGAGGUGGGUGAGCGGCUUAAACCACAGUCCUGCUAAGACUGCGUACUCCAAAAGGGUACCGAGGGUUCAAAUCCCUCCCUCUCCG
rnacentral:tRNA from 2 species